rnacentral:lncRNA from 1 species
GGCCAUUCUGACUGGUGUGAGGUGAUACCUCAUUGUAGUUUGAUUUGCACUUCUCUAAUAAUUAGUGAUGUUGAGAAAUGUCUGUUUAGGUCUUCCGCCCAUUUUUGGAUUGGGUUGUUUGUUUUUUUGAUAUUGAGCUGCAUGUCCUGCUUGUAUAUUUUGGAGAUUAAUCCUUUGUCAGUUGCUUCGUUUGCAAAUAUGUUCGCCCAUUCUGAGGUUUGUCUUUUCAUCUUUUUUAUGAUUUCCUUUGCUGUGCAAAAGCUUUUAAGUUUCAUUAGGUCCCGUUUGUUUAUUUUUGUUUUCAUUUCCAUUUCUCUUGGAGGUGGGUCAAAAAGGAUCCUGCUGUAAUUUAUGUUACAGAGUGUUGUGCCUAUGUUUUCCUCUAAAUGUUUAUAGUGUCUGGCCUUACAUUUAGGUCUUUAAUCCAUUUUGAGUUUAUUUUUGUGUAUGGUGUUAGGGAGUGUUCCAAUUUCAUUCCUUUACAUGUAGCUGUCCAGUUUUCCCAGCACCGCUUACGGAAGAGGCUAUUUCUCUCCAUUGUAUAUUCUUGCCUCCUUUAUCAAGCAUAAGGUGACCAUAUGUGUGUGGGUUUUUCUCUGGGCUUUCUAUCCUGUUCCAUUGAUCGACAUUUCUGUUUUUGUGCCGGUACCAUACUGUCUUGAUUACUGUAGUUUUGUAGUAUACUCUGAAGUCAGGGAGCCUGAUUCCUCCAGCUCCGUUUUUCUUUCUCAAGAAUGCUUUGGCUAUUCGGGGUCUUUUGUUUCCAUACACAUUGUGAAAUGUUUUGUUCUAGUUCUGUGAAAAAUGCCAUUGGUAGUUUGAUAGGGAUUGCAAUGAAUCUGUAGAUUGCUUCGGGUAGUAUAGUCAUUUUCACAGUGUUGAUUCUUCCAAUGCAAGAACAUGGUAUAUCUCUCCAUCUGUUUGAAUCAUCUUUAAUUUCUUUCAUCAGUGUCUUAAAGUUUCUGCAUACAGGUCUUUUGUCUCCUUAGGUAGGUUUAUUCCUAGGUAUUUUAUUCCUUUUGUUGCAGUGGUAAAUGGGAAUGUUUCCUUAAUUUCUCUUUUGGAUUUUUCAUCAUUAGUGUAUAGGAGUGCAAGAGACUUCUGUGCAUUAAUUUUGUAUCCUGCUACUUUACCAAAUGCAUUGAUUAACUCUAGUAGUUUUCUAGUAGUAUCUUUAGGAUUCUCUGUGUAUAGUAUCAUGUCAUCUGCAAACAGUGACAGUUUUACUUCUUCUUUUCCUAUCUGGAUUCCUUUUAUUUCUUUUUCUUCUCUGAUUGCUAUGGCUAAAACUUCCAAAACUAUGUUGAAUAAUAGUGGUGAGAGUGGGCAUCCUUUUCUUGUUCCUGAUUUUAGAGGAAAUGGUUUCAGUUUUUUAUCACUGAGAAUGAUGUUGGCUGUGGGUUUGUCAUAUAUGGCCUGUAUUAUGUUGAGGUAAGUUCCCCCGAUGCCUACUUUCUGGAGAGUUUUUAUCAUAAAUUGGUGUUGAAUUUUGUCAAAAGCUUUUUCUGCAUUUAUUGAGAUGGUCAUAUGGUUUUUAUUACGUUUUUUAAUAUGGUGUAUCACAUUGAUUGAUUUGCACUUAUUAAAGAAUCCUUGCAUUCCUGGGAUGAUCAUGGUGUAUGAUCCUUUUAAUGUGCUGCUGAAUUCUGUUUGCUAGUAUUUUGUUGAGGAUUUUUGCAUCUGUGUUCAUCAGAGAUAUUGGCCUGUAGUUUUCUUUUUUUGUGACAUCUUUGUCUGGUUUUGAUAUCAGGGUGAUGGUGGCCUCGUAGAAUGAGUUUGGGAGUGUUCCUCCCUCCACUAUAUUUUGGAAGAGUUUGAGAAGGAUACGUGUUAGCUCUUUGCUAAAUUUUUGAUAGAAUUCGCCUGUGAAGCCAUCCAGUCUGGGCUCUUGUUUGUUGGAAGAGUUUUAAUCACAGUCUCAAUUUCAGUGCUUGUGAUUGGUCUGUUUAUUUUUUCUAUUUCUUCCUGGUUCAGUGUCAGAAGGUUGUGCUUUUCUAAGAAUUUGUCUAUUUCUUUCAGGCUGUCCAUUUUAUUGGCAUAUAGUUGCUUGUAGUAAUCCCUCAUGAUUCUUUGUAUUUCUGCAGUGUCAGUUGUUACUUCUCCUUUUUCAUUUUUAAUUCUAUUGAUUUGAGUCUUCUCCCUUUUUUUCUUGAUGAGUCUGGCUAAUAGUUUAUCAAUUUUGUUUAUCUUCUCCAAGAACCAGCUUUUAAUUUUAUUUAUCUUUGCUAUUGUUUCCUUCAUUUCUUUUUCAUUUAUUUCUGAUCAGAUCAUUAUGAUUUCUUUUUCUGCUAAUUUUGGGGGAUGUUUGUUCUUCUUUUUCUAAUUGCUUUAGGUGUAAGGUAGGUUGUUUAUUUGAGAUUUUUCUUGUUUCUUGAGGUAGUAUUGUAUUGCUAUAAACUUCCCUUUUAGAACUGCUUUUGCUCCAUCCCAUUGGUUUUGGGUCAUCAUGUUUUCAUUGUCAUUUGUUUCUAGGUAUUUUUUGAUUUCCUCUUUGACUUCUUCAGUGAUCUCUUGGUUAUUUAGUAGCAUAUUGUUUAACCUCCAUGUGUUUGUAUAUUUUUCAGUUUUUUUUUUCCUGUAAUUGAUAUCUAGUCUCACAGCAUUGUGAUUGGAAAAGAUACUUGAUAUGAUUUCAGAUUUCUUAAAUUUACCAAAGCUUGAUUUGUGACCCAAGAUAUGAUCUAUCCUGGAGAAUGUUCCAUGAGCACUUGAGAAGAAAGUGUAUUCUGUGGUUUUUGGAUGGAAUGUCCUAUAAAUAUCAAUCAAGUCCAUCAUAUUUAAAGCUUGUUUUUCCUUAAUUAUUUUCAUUUUGGUUGAUCUGUCCAUUGGUGAAAGUGGGGGGUUAAAGUCCCCUACUAUGAUUGUGUUACUGUCAAUUUCCCUAUUUAUGGCUGUUAGCAUUUGCCUUAUGUAUUGAGGUGUUCCUAUGUUGGGUGCAUAAAUAUUUACAAUUGUUGUAUCCUCUUCUUGGAUUGAUCCCUUGAUCUUUAUGUCUUCUUUGUCUCUUCUAAUAGUCUUUAUUUUCAAGUCUAUUUUGCCUGAUAUGAGUAUUGCUAUCCAGCUUUCUUUUGAUUUCUAUUUGCAUGGAAUAUAUUUUUCCAUCCCCUCACUUUCAAUCUGUAUGUGUCCCUAGGUCUGAAAUGGGUCUCUUGUAGACAGCAUAUAUAUGGGUCUUAUGUUUGUAUCCGUUCAGCCAGUCUGUGUCUUUUGUUUGGAGCAUUUAAUCCAUUUACAUUUAAAGUAAUUAUUGAUAUGCAUGUUCCUAUUACCAUUUUCUUAAUUGUUUGGGUUUGUUUGUAGGUCUUUUCUUUCUCUUGUGUUUCCUGCCUAGAGAAGUUCCUUUAGCAUUUGUUGUAAAGCAGGUUUGGUGGUGCUGAAUUCUCUUAACUUUUGUUUGUCUGUAAAGGUUUUAAUUUCUCCAUUGAAUCUGAAUGAGAUCCUUGUUGGGUAGAGUAAUCUUAGUUGUAGGUUUUUCCCUUUCAUCACUUUAAAUAUGUCCUGCCACUCCCUUCUGGCUUGCAGAGUUUCUGCUGAAACAUCAGCUGUUAACCUUAUGGUGAUUCCCUUGUAUGUUAUUUGUUGCUUUUCCCUUGCCGCUUUUAAUAUUUGUUCUUUGUAUUUAAUUUUUGAUAGUUUGAUUAAUAUGUGUCUUGGCGUGUUUCUCUUUGGAUUUAUCCUGUAUGGGACACUCUGCGCUCUCUGCACUUGACUGACUAUUUCCUUUCUCAUGUUAAGGAAGUUUUCUACUAUAAUCUCUUCAAAGAUUUUCUCAGUCCCUUUCUUUUUCUCUUCUUCUUCUGGGACCCCGUAUAAUUCGGAUGUUGGUGCGUUUAAUGUUGUCCCAGAGUUCUUUGAGACUGUCCUCAAUUCUUUUCAUUCUUUUUUCUUUAUUCUGCUCUGUGGUAGUUAUUUCCACUGUUUUAUCUUCCAGGUCACUUAUCCAUUCUUCUGUCUCAGUUAUUCUGCUGUUGAUUCCUUCUAGAGAAUUUUUAAUUUCAUUUAUUGUGUUGUCCAUCAUUGUUUGUUUGUUCUUUAGUUCUUCUAGGUCCUUGUUAAAUGUUUCUUGUAUUUUCUCCAUUCUAUUUCCGAGAUUUUGGUUCAUCUUUACUGUCAUUACUCUGAAUUCUUUUUCAGGUAGACUGCCUAUUUCCUUUUCAUUUCUUUGGUCUGGUGGGUUUUUACCUUGCUCCUUCAUCUGCUGCAUAUUUCUCUGUCUUCUCAUUUUGCUUAACUUACUGUGUUUGAGGUCUUGUUUUCACAGGCUGCAGGUUUGUAAUUCUCAUUGUUUUUGGUGUCUGCUCCCAGUGGGUAAGGUUGCUUCAGUGGCUUGUGUAGGCUCCAGGUUGAGGGGACUUGUGCCUGUGUUGUGGUGGAUGUAUAUGGAUCUUGUUUUUCUGGUGGGCAGGGCUGUGUCCGGUGGUGUUUUGGGGUCUAUGAACUUAUGAUUUUAGGCAGUCUCUCUGCUAAUGGAUGGGGUUGUGUUCCUGUGUUGCUAGUUGUUUGGCAUGGGGCAUUCAGCAGUGGAGUUUGCUGGCCAUUGGAUGGAAGUGGAUCUUAGCUUUGAGAGUGAGAUCUCUGGGAAGGCUCUCGCUGAUAGAUAUCACAUGGGGCUGGGAGGUCUCUGGUGGUCCAGUGCCCUGAACUCGACUCUUCCACCUCAUAGGCUCAGGCCUGACACAAGGCCAGAGCCCCAAGACCCUGUCAGCCACAUGGUUCAG